rnacentral:rRNA from 1 species
AAGAAAAGAACUUUAGUUCUCCCUCAAACUAUAGCAUAAUACUUAAAUACAUUUGAGAGUUAUUCAAAUAUGGUACAGCCUAUUUGAUACAGAAUACAACCUAAAACUAAGGGUAAUGUAAUUUCUUUUUUCCCAAGUUGGCCUAAAAGCAGCCACCUUUAAAAUAACGUUACAGCUUAACCAAACCAUUUUUAACAAUAACUUCUUCUAUACUAAACCCUACCUCAAUAUUGAGUACUCCUAUGACUUAUAAAUGUUAUCAUGCUAGAACUAGUAACAAGAAAACUUCUCCUAAAUGUAAGUAUAUAUCUACUUGAUCUUUACUACUAUAAAUGUAACACCUCCCCCUAGAAAACCCUACCAACUUUACUAUUGAACUUACACAAGAACACUACAGGAAAGAUUAAAAUAAAGAGAAGGAACUCGGCAAACUUUAGUCUCGCCUGUUUACCAAAAACAUCACCUCUUGAUUAAUUAUAAGAGGCCAAGCCUGCCCAGUGAUCAUUUCAACGGCCGCGGUAUCCUAACCGUGCAAAGGCGG